UACAGAGGUCCCGGGCGUUGUUCGGAUUCACUGGGCGUAAAGCGUGUGUAGGCGGAUUUGUAAGUACCUUGUGAAAUCCCACGGCUCAACCGUGGAACUGCUUGGUAUACUGCUUAUCUUGGGCCACUUAGGGGUUACCGGAACAAACGGUGGAGCGGUGAAAUGCGUAGAUAUCGUUUGGAACGCCAAUGGUGAAAACAGGUAACUGGGAGUGUGCCGACGCUGAGACACGAAAGCCAGGGGAGCGAACGGG
rnacentral:rRNA from 1 species